AGGAAGAGUCAAUUUGGUCAUCAAUAGGAUCAACUAGUGUAUCCACACUCACAACAUGUACAUCAUCAACAAAAGGCAAAGAAUCAUUAGACUCACAAGUAAGUAAGCUACUACUCACACUCAAUGGGCUACUAGCCACACAAUUAUCAUUCACAUGCACAAAAGUGUAAGAGUUAGAUAUUUUACCUUGAAGUUCUUAAGUCGAUUUUCCUUUGCCAUGUUGUGA
rnacentral:lncRNA from 1 species